rnacentral:misc_RNA from 1 species
AUGCGAUAAGUAAUGUGAAUUGCAGAAUUCAGUGAAUCAUCGAAUCUUUGAACGCACAUUGCGCCCCUUGGUAUUCCGGGGGGCAUGCCUGUUCGAGCGUCAUUAUAACCCUCAAGCCUAGCUUGGUGUUGGAGCAUGCUAUCUAGCAGCUCUUAAAAUCAGUGGCAGUGCCCUUCGGUUCUAAGCGUAGUAACUUCUCUCGCUAUGGAAACCGGAUGGUACGCGCCAAAACCCCCAACUUUCUAUGGUUGACCUCGGAUCAGGUAGGGAUACCCGCUGAACUUAA